GAUGGACGCUGGCGGCGUGCUUAACACAUGCAAGUCGAACGGAAAGGCUCCUGCUUGCAGGGGUACUCGAGUGGCGAACGGGUGAGUAACACGUGGGUGAUCUGCCCUGCACUUCGGGAUAAGCCUGGGAAACUGGGUCUAAUACCGGAUAGGACGAUGGUUUGGAUGCCAUUGUGGAAAGUUUUUCGGUGUGGGAUGAGCUCGCGGCCUAUCAGCUUGUUGGUGGGGUAAUGGCCUACCAAGGCGUCGACGGGUAGCCGGCCUGAGAGGGUGUACGGCCACCUUGGGACUGAGGUACGGCCCAGACUCCUUCGGGAGGCAGAGGUGGGGAAUCUUGCGCAAUAGGCGGAAGCCUGAUGCAGCGACGCCGCGUGGGGGAUGACGGCCUUCGGGUUGUAAACUCCUUUCGCUAGGGACGAAGCGAACGUGACGGUACCUGGAGAAGAAGCACCGGCUAACUACGUG
rnacentral:rRNA from 1 species